rnacentral:rRNA from 1 species
CGAACGGGUGAGUAACGCGUGAGUAACCUGCCCUGGAGUGGGGGACGAACAGUUGGAAACGACUGCUAAUACCGCAUAAGCCCCACGGAUCCGCAUGGAUCUGCGGGAAAAGGAUUUAUUCGCUUCAGGAUGGACUCGCGUCCAAUUAGCUAGUUGGUGAGGUAACGGCCCACCAAGGCGACGAUUGGUAGCCGGACUGAGAGGUUGAACGGCCACAUUGGGACUGAGACACGGCCCAGACUCCUACGGGAGGCAGCAUG